rnacentral:rRNA from 1 species
UACGUAGGGUGCGAGCGUUGUCCGGAAUUAUUGGGCGUAAAGAGCUCGUAGGCGGUCUGUCGCGUCGGUCGUGAAAACUUGGGGCUUAACCCUGAGCUUGCGGUCGAUACGGGCAUGACUGGAGUUCGGCAGGGGAGACUGGAAUUCCUGGUGUAGCGGUGAAAUGCGCAGAUAUCAGGAGGAACACCAGUAGCGAAGGCGGCACUCUGGGCCGGUACUGACGCUGAGGAGCGAAAGCGUGGGGAGCGAACAGG